rnacentral:rRNA from 1 species
UACGUAGGGGGCGAGCGUUGUCCGGAGUUACUGGGCGUAAAGGGUGCGUAGGCGGCCCAUUAAGUCAGGUGUGAAAAACCCUGGCUCAACCGGGGUAUUGCACUUGAAACUGGUGGGCUUGAGUGCAGGAGAGGGAAGCGGAAUUCCUGGUGUAGCGGUGAAAUGCGUAGAUAUCAGGAGGAACACCAGUGGCGAAGGCGGCUUCCUGGCCUGUAACUGACGCUGAGGCACGAGAGCGUGGGGAGCAAACAGG